AUGAACGCUGGCGGCGUGCUUAACACAUGCAAGUCGAACGAAGCAUUUAGAACAGAUUACUUCGGUUUGAAGUCUUUAUGACUGAGUGGCGGACGGGUGAGUAACGCGUGGGUAACCUGCCUUGUACUGGGGGAUAGCAGCUGGAAACGGCUGGUAAUACCGCAUAAGCGCACGGUGCUGCAUGGCACAGUGUGAAAAACUCCGGUGGUAUAAGAUGGACCCGCGUCUGAUUAGCUAGUUGGUGAGAUAACAGCCCACCAAGGCGACGAUCAGUAGCCGACCUGAGAGGGUGACCGGCCACAUUGGGACUGAGACACGGCCCAGACUCCUACGGGAGGCAGCAGUGGGGAAUAUUGCACAAUGGAGGAAACUCUGAUGCAGCGACGCCGCGUGAGUGAAGAAGUAAUUCGUUAUGUAAAGCUCUAUCAGCAGGGAAGAUAGUGACGGUACCUGACUAAGAAGCUCCGGCUAAAUACGUG
rnacentral:rRNA from 1 species